CCUACCACUAGCAGCUUUGCAGGUGUGGCUGCUGUAUCGCAUGUGUAUUGAUAGGCGGAAGCUAGUAGAGAGUCUCUGUCAAUACUCAAUGUUCUGCCCUGUGAGCAUCUGAAUGAUUAGUAGCCUAACAUA